rnacentral:rRNA from 1 species
GUGAGGAAUCUUCCGCAAUGGGCGAAAGCCUGACGGAGCGACACCGCGUGAAGGAUGAAGGCCUUUUGGUUGUAAACUUCUUUUCUGAAGGAAUAAAUGAUGAAGUUACUUCAGGAAUAAGCACCGGCUAACUACGUGCCAGCAGCCGCGGUAAUACGUAGGGUGCAAGCGUUAUCCGGAAUUAUUGGGCGUAAAGCGUUCGUAGGCUGCGAAGAAAGUUUGUGGUUAAAUCCGAUGGCUUAACCAUCGAAUCGUCACAAAAACUACUUUGCUAGAGUGUGGCAGAGGUAACUAGAAUUCCGCAAGUAGGGGUAAUAUCCGUAGAUAUGCGGAGGAAUACCAAAAGCGAAGGCAGGUUACUGGGCCAUUUCUGACGCUGAGGAACGAAAGCGUGGGGAGCAAACAGGAUUAGAUACCCCUGUAGUCC